GCAUCCUGGAGGAGAACACAGGUCUGUUCUGUACAGCUUCCUUCCCUCUUUUUCUCUUCCCUCUUUCCAGGAAAGAAGUCUGUGAAAGCUGAGCUGAAUUUUAAAAGCAAAUCCCAACAGCAGCACCAAUGCCCUCAUUGAAAAUUACAUUCUCGACACCUAAGAUCCCAUACAGGUAAGGAAUUGUGUGUGUUAAAUCCUGUACAAUUAGUCUGUGCUCCUGCUGCUGUUUGGCUGCUGCUGAUAUUCUCUGUAGUGUCUCCAUGUGCACACAAGACUUCCAGAUGUAGCAUUUCUUAAUUUAGUAUUUUCUUCUUUUCAUUCCCAUUAAAAUUAUUGCAUUUGUAUUGAUUUCACUACAUAAUCAUAAUCCCGGCCAGCUUCCAGUCCCCUCCCCAAGCAGGACGUGCUGUGGUAUGGAAUACCUCCCCGACUAGCCCAGACCAGGCGCCUUAUCUCUCCCUCCUCACUGGCAGAGCAUGAGCUACUGCUGAACCCAUGACAAGUUAAUAUCCAAUGAUUGCUUUGCCAUGAUAGGACUUCUAAUAGAGACUCUCAUUACCAAGAGAAGGUUACCAAGGACUGCAGAAAUUCCUCAAAGUCCAGACUGUUUAGAAACAUUCUAGAAAUGCAUUUCUCUCUGUUAGCUUUCCCAGGCUGACUGUUUCUUUACUUGUUCUGCACAAGGUUAAAAGAAGGGCUAUGGGUCAGGAUUGCACUUCAUUCUGUACAUAUUUUAGCCUGUAAGAUUUCUAAGAAAGUUUUCACACUUUUGAAAAUCCAAUGUACUAGAGAGAUAUUAGGAGCUUUAGUCUGGUUUGCUCUGUUCACACACUAUGCUUCUGUAUUUCAUAUCCCUUAUAUGAGUUUGCUAGAGGCAUAGGAGCCGCAAAGGCCCUUUCUCAGAGGUGCAGUUUGCAGACAACUCCAUGCUGAGGAGAGAUGAUGCAAAGCACAAAGCUUCUGAGGAACCCUGAUGGCACCACACGGAACUUUGGCAGACCUGUGGAGUGGGAAGUCAAGCAGGCAGCCAGAAGCACCACAGCCAGAAGAGAAACAGGAGGAGGAUGUGGAAAUAAUUGAAAAUCCCUGGGUUCCAGAAAGUCAGUAGAGAACAUGCCAGCACCCUUAAGCUAAGGAGGGACCUGGGAGAGGGCGCAGUUUGCAUAUUUGGAAGAAGAGAGGGAAGUGCACGUUAAUAAGACAGUGUGAAGGUCUGUGAACUGCAGGAGAGGCACCCUAGGUGGGAACCACACCCUACCUCUAAUUCCCUCCUCUAAUCUGGCUGCAGCAGAAGCUCACACAGAAACCCUUCUUCAGCCCCCCUUACUGCCAGCCAGCUCCACGUCACUUUGGGGAUCUACAAACAGCCAAAAUGUGAAGCAUGGAUGGUUUGUGCCUGUUGUGUUUUGCGUCAGC
rnacentral:lncRNA from 14 species